UGACGGAUAGGUCCCGUCGGGCUCAUAACCCGAAGGUCAUAGGUUCAAAUCCUAUCCCCGCAACCA
rnacentral:tRNA from 1 species